rnacentral:rRNA from 1 species
GACGUAGGGCGCAAGCGUUGUCCGGAUUUAUUGGGCGUAAAGAGCUCGUAGGCGGCUUGUUGCGUCGGCUGUGAAAACCCGCGGCUUAACCGCGGGCUUGCAGCCGAUACGGGCGGGCUGGAGUUCGGUAGGGGAGACUGGAAUUCCUGGUGUAGCGGUGAAAUGCGCAGAUAUCAGGAGGAACACCGGUGGCGAAGGCGGGUCUCUGGGCCUGUUCUGACGCUGAGGCGCGAAAGCUAGGGGAGCGAACAGG